AGUUUGAUCCUGGCUCAGGACGAACGCUGGCGGCGUGCCUAAUACAUGCAAGUCGAGCGGAUUGAUGGGAGCUUGCUCCCUGAUAUCAGCGGCGGACGGGUGAGUAACACGUGGGUAACCUGCCUGUAAGACUGGGAUAACUCCGGGAAACCGGGGCUAAUACCGGAUAACUCAUUUCCUCGCAUGAGGAAAUGUUGAAAGAUGGCUUCUUGCUAUCACUUACAGAUGGACCCGCGGCGCAUUAGCUAGUUGGUGAGGUAACGGCUCACCAAGGCAACGAUGCGUAGCCGACCUGAGAGGGUGAUCGGCCACACUGGGACUGAGACACGGCCCAGACUCCUACGGGAGGCAGCAGUAGGGAAUCUUCCGCAAUGGACGAAAGUCUGACGGAGCAACGCCGCGUGAGUGAUGAAGGUUUUCGGAUCGUAAAGCUCUGUUGUUAGGGAAGAACAAGUGCCGUUCGAAUAGGGCGGCACCUUGAUGGUACCUAACCAGAAAGCCACGGCUAACUACGUGCCAGCAGCCGCGGUGAUACGUAGGUGGCAAGCGUUGUCCGGAAUUAUUGGGCGUAAAGCGCGCGCAGGUGGUUCCUUAAGUCUGA
rnacentral:rRNA from 2 species